rnacentral:rRNA from 1 species
UACGUAGGCAGCGAGCGUUGUUCGGAGUUACUGGGCGUAAAGGGUGUGUAGGCGGUUUUCUAAGUUUGGUGUGAAAUCUCCCGGCUCAACUGGGAGGGUGCGCCGAAUACUGAAUGACUAGAGUGCGGGAGAGGAUAGUGGAAUUCCAGGUGUAGCGGUGAAAUGCGUAGAUAUCUGGAGGAACACCGGUGGCGAAGGCGGCAUCCUGGACCAACACUGACACUGAGGAGCGAAAGCCAGGGGAGCAAACGGG